rnacentral:rRNA from 1 species
GACGAACGCUGGCGGCGUGCUUAACACAUGCAAGUCGUACGGUAAGGCCCUUUCGGGGGUACACGAGUGGCGAACGGGUGAGUAACACGUGAGUAACCUGCCCACAACUUUGGGAUAACGCUAGGAAACUGGUGCUAAUACUGGAUAUGUGCUCCUGCUGCAUGGUGGGGGUUGGAAAGCUCCGGCGGUUGUGGAUGGACUCGCGGCCUAUCAGCUUGUUGGUGGGGUAGUGGCCUACCAAGGCGGCGACGGGUAGCCGGCCUGAGAGGGUGACCGGCCACAUUGGGCAGGGGAACGGGCCCCAACUCCUAGGGGGGGCAGAGGGGGGGAAUUUGCAAAAAGGGGCGCAAGCCGGAGGCAGCAACGCCGGGGGGGGGAUGACGGCCUUCGGGUUUGAAACCGUUUUCAGCAGGGACGAAGCUUUUUGUGACGGUACCUGCAAAAGAAGCACCGGCUAACUACGU